GGGCCCCAACAGUUAUCGAGGGGUACCGGCAAGGAAUAAGCAAGCAUGUAGAGCAAUGGAGACAAUGCUCUUAAAACUCGUCUCUGCAAUUUAAAUGGCGAAUCUAACUUCGCAAUGGCUGCCUAAUGUCGCAGCCCGUCCUCUCCUCGGUCCUUUCCGUCCGGAACGGGAGUAGGGCGUCGGCAAAGGACGGAGUGGCUUUGUGAUGCUGCCGGCAAAGUCCACUAAUCUGCAGCUAGGUAGGUUCUAUCGGAGGCGUUCUGCCGGGAACUUACCGAAACUUCAAGUGAACGCUAAACAUGUAGAAAGCUUAUGCUUUGGUUAUCCGGACGAGGGUUCGAUUCCCUCUGGGUCCACUU
rnacentral:tmRNA from 1 species